rnacentral:rRNA from 1 species
UACGUAGGGUGCAAGCGUUGUCCGGAAUUAUUGGGCGUAAAGAGCUCGUAGGCGGUCUGUCGCGUCUGCUGUGAAAACUCGAGGCUUAACCCCGGGCCUGCAGUGGGUACGGGCAGACUAGAGUGCGGUAGGGGAGACUGGAAUUCCUGGUGUAGCGGUGAAAUGCGCAGAUAUCAGGAGGAACACCGGUGGCGAAGGCGGGUCUCUGGGCCGUAACUGACGCUGAGGAGCGAAAGCAUGGGGAGCGAACAGG